ACACCGUUGGUCUAACGGUUUAUGAUCUAACAUUCCCAAAAAAGGAUAUUGUUAGGAAAAGGGUUCGACUCCCUUACGGUGUA